rnacentral:rRNA from 1 species
ACAUGCUUACAUCAUAGUGUUAAUGCACCGAAUCCCAUUAGAACUCCGUAGUUAAGCACACUCGGGCUAAAGUAGUAUUGGGAUGGGUGAUCGCCUGGGAAGUCCCAGUGUUUUACAUGCC